GGUACUUAACAAGUGUCUCAGGGGUGCCAGAACCCUCUCGCCCAUGGAGCUGGUGCCUCAGUCGGGGGAGACAACCACACACCCAAACGUCCAAGUUGUUCCACGUUCCAGGCUGCCUGAUCUUGGCCCUGAGCCUCAGACUGGAACCCAUGUCCUGAGGACAACAGAGCUCAUCCCACAAGCCGGCCCUCCCCAGGUCCCCCACUCAGGCAGUGAAACCUGACCUCUCAACACCCAUCCCUCCAGCUUGCAAGGCACUCACCUCUGGACUGAGUGGAUGGUCCUCGCUACCCUCGGACUUCACUUAAAGGUUUCUGGUCUGAUUUGGUCUGGGGUGAGAGAGGAAAAGUGGGAAGGAGGAGAAAGGGCCUGGGGACACAGAAGUUUGUGCAGCAACUUUUUCCGGCAUGAAGUGACCGUGUGUCCAGCUUCGGAGUGGAGGUGUGCCCGCCCAGCCAGGAUGAUGCUCUGUGGGACCUUCCUGGCUAAGCGACCAUUAAGCCUGCUCCACCGGCUUCCACAAAGCACUUCCUUAGCAAGCACUGCAGCCACAAGUUUGGUUUUGCAAAUCUCGCCUUUUCUCCCCGUGUGGAGUCGGAGGACCCUGCAUUCAGACAGAUUGUUUCCCUGAGGAUCUUCCUAAACUUAAAAGUCUCAUGCAACUUCUCCAUGGAUUUUUAUGAAAUAAAGUUUAAAGGAACAAUGUGCAUCACGCUUAGUUAUGGGAAAGACAAUAUUUUAUGAUUUAAAAAACUCCUGACAGUGUUUCACCCCGUGUGGGGAAGAAAGUUUUCGGACUACCUUGCUGUGGUCACUUAGAGGCAGAGCCGGGAGCCUCGUCUGGAACGGCCUCUGCCGGCGCGGCCGCGGCGAUCGCCGGCCUGGCUCGGGCUCGCGCCGAGAACAAAGCCCGGGCCUGGGGCGGGAGCGCUGUCCGAAGUGCUGAUCCAGUCGCGGGCGCGCCUGCCGCCCCGGCGCGCGGCCUGAAGCCGCGCCGAGCCUC
rnacentral:lncRNA from 1 species